rnacentral:tRNA from 1 species
UGGGGGAUCGUCUAAUGGUAGGACUGCAGACUCUGACUCUGCCUGUCGAGGUUCGAAUCCUCGUCCCCCAG